AACAGGCACACUCAGACGCGUACAUACGGCAGCCAACAAGCAGCUCCAGUUACUGGCUUGAGGGAAUAUGGCUCAGGGAGGCCUAACCUACCCCUCAUGGGAAAGGCAGGCAUCCACAUGCACCUGUGGGUGGGCCAUGGUGCCCCACAGCCUCCCUAGCCUGUCUGCCCUCCCGAUCCACCUUUCCUGGAGCCCCCACUGCCCUCAAUCCGCAGGUCCACUGGUGCUGGCCCUGCAGGAUGGCACCAUCCUGAGAUGCCCCCAAGCUCUCACCUCUUUUCAGGAGCCCCUUUUAUGGAAGCUGCCUGGAUUCUCCAUGAGGGCAGAGCCAGCUCUGCCCUGCUGGGAUGGACUGUCCUGCCCAGAGCAGCAGGAGAGCCUUGAGGAUGGCUCAGACCCCAAUUUGUCUCCAGGUCCCCAGAGCCAGGCCUGGCACUUAGUAGGUAACCGUUCCCCAAACAGCUAGACAUGGGAGGCUCACACCGGUGCCUCCUCCCGAGAUCAUUUACCCUUGAUUGAAACUGCGGGGAAGGGGAAUCCUUGGGUUGAUGGGAGCAGGAGGAAGACAACAGCCAUCAGCCGAGGCCUGCCCUGAGAGCCUCCAUGAGGGGACAAGGCCCCUCCUUGGGUGUUCUACAAAGAGCUUCUGGGACUUCAUCUAAAGGGUGUUGCCUGGGUGAUGAGCGGGCGGGGGCAGCCACCUCCACAGCUGUGGUGCAAGGCGUCUAGGGCCAGCAUCAGUGGAUUCUCACAGAUCACCGUCUGGGUCGUUCCCCUGCUGCAUGAGGACCCCCGAAGGGUAAGGUGAGCAGCCAGCCUGGGGCAGGAGCAGGCAGUCCUGUCAGAGAACAUUCUAGAGCCUGUUUUACUGCCAUGCAUAGCUCUGCUGCCUGGUACAUAGUAGCUCCUCAUCA
rnacentral:lncRNA from 1 species